rnacentral:misc_RNA from 1 species
AUGGGUGCAGAGUAAUUCAGAAGGUGCUUUUUCCAAGCUCUUGGCAACAUGAUUAAGUAUAAACUAACUCGUGCACAUGCAUAAGCAUGCAUGCAUUUUUCUUUGCGUGUGCAUUCUUGGCAAAUACUUGAGGGGUUUUACUUGAUAGGAUUAUUUGUGCUUUGAUGUUUUCCUCCUCUUUCUUGUGUGAAUAUCGUUAAUGCUUGCUAAUAAUUAAAAUCUAUCAUUGUAUAUGGUGGCAUUUCCUUUGAUUAGGAGAGCUGAUUCCAAGAAUGUCUAGUUUCAUAAAGAAUUAAUCAACAAUUUUGCAACCAUUUAUCCUUUUUCCUUUCCCUCUUUUUCUUAAAAGGAAUCCUUUAUCCUUAUUUUGAUGCUGCAGAGAAGCCACUCCCUCAACUUUAAUAAAUGCUUGGUUAAUCAUCAAGAAGUCUCCAUGAAAUGAUGUUUGUCCUUGUGUGGUUCUUCCAUUCAUGUAGGUUUGCUUGAUAAACUUCUAUAAAUUAUUUCCAGAUGAUUAGUACACCUAUCUUUCAUGUGAGUUAUAGUUGGUAUGUGGACAGGUUCAAGUAAUAUGGUUGAGGCUUAUACAUCUGUGAAUCCCUUAAUCCUUAUUUUGUUUCAACAUAUCUGGCUGCUUAUCAUAACAUGAAAAAAAAAGAAAGAACCGUUUGAUAAUAGUAUAGAUGCGCCACAUAAUCUUAUGGGAUGAUCGUUGUUACUUUCAUUUAUUUUGGCUGUGUAAAGCACUCAAUACUGUAGAAGUGAUCACAGGCCUUGGAGGUGGUUGAUGUGG